rnacentral:tRNA from 1 species
UGGCUCAGUGGCAGAGCGCUUGCCUUGCAUGCAUGAGGCCCUGGGUUCGAUUCCCCAG